UUUAAUCUGAGGGUCCAGGGUUCAAGU
rnacentral:piRNA from 1 species